GACAGGUGGGACAGGUGGGACAGGAGAGACAGGUGAGACAGGUGAGACAGGUGAGACAGGUGAGACAGGUGAGACAGGUGAGAGACAGGUGAGACAGGUGAGACAGGUGGGACAGGUGAGACAGGUGAGUGACAGGUGAGUGACAGGUGAGAGACAGGUGAGACAGGUGAGACAGGUGAGACAGGUGUGUACAGGUGUGUACAGGUGCAGUACAGGUGUGUCACAGGUGUGUACAGGUGUGUACAGGUGUGUACAGGUGUGCACAGGUGUGAUUUACCUGUCUCAGGUGUGAUUUACCUGGGAUGGUGUGCACAGCCUCGAUGGGCAGCAGGCAGGGCCGGGUGUGACACAGGUGUGACACAGGUGUGACAGUGAUGUGUUACAGGUGUGUACAGGUGUGUCCAGGUGUCCCCAGGUGUGUCCAGGUGUGUUCAGGUGUCCCCAGGUGUGUCCAGGUGUAUCUCAGGUGUCCCCAGGUGUGCCCAGGUGUACCCCAGGUGUGUUUUUACCCCCCCGGGUGUGCCCAGGUGUACCUCAGGUGUGCCCAGGUGUGUCNNNNNNNNNNNNNNNNNNNNNNNNNNNNUCUCAGGUGUGCCCAGGUGUGCCCCAGGUGUCCCCAGGUGUGCCCAGGUGUACCCCAGGUGUAUCCAGGUGUGUCCUCAGGGGUCCCCAGGUGUAUCCAGGUGUGUCCUCAGGUGUCCCCAGGUGUGCCCAGGUGUAUUUCAGGUGUCCCCCAGGUGUAUCCAGGUGUCCCCA
rnacentral:lncRNA from 1 species